rnacentral:rRNA from 1 species
CUCGAAAUAGAAUGAUUUACUUAAUAAUUUAUUGUUAACGUGGUAAGGUUAUAAUUUAAUUAUAAAGUAGGGGUGAAAUGUUUAUCGAAUUUUAUGAUAGCUAGUUUAUUAGUUUAGAAUAUUUUAGUAUUGUAGUAUUUAAAUUAUUUUAAAUAAUUUAAUAUUAUUGAUUAUAUAAGGGAUAAGCUUUAUAUUUUUAAUAGAUGUAUUAAAUAAUAAUUAUUUAGUAUUAUAAAGUAGGGUUAAUAAUGUUCUUCUUUUUUAUAUAAUAAUAUUAUUAUAUAUGUGAAUCAUGUGUAUUAUUAAUAAAUUUUUAUUAAUUAUUAGAUAAUUAAAUAUUAUGUUAAUAUGAGUAUUUGUUAUAAAGAUAUUAUUUAAUUAAUUAAAUUGUAAUAGGUUAUAUUUUAAUAAUAAAAUUAAAUAAAGUAAAGGAAUUAGGCAAAUAUAAAUCUCGCCUGUUUAACAAAAACAUGUCUCUUUGUUAAUAGAAAAUAAAGAGUCGUACCUGCUCGGUGAAUUUAAUUUUAACAGCUGCGGUAUUUUAACUGUACUAAGGUAGCAUAAUAAUUUGCCUUAUAAAUUGAGGCUAGAAUGAAUGGUUUGACGAAGGUUUAACUGUCUCUAUUUUAUUUAUUAGAAUUUAAUUUUUAAAGUGAAAAAGCUUGAAUAUUUUAAAGGGACGAGAAGACCCUAUGAGCUUAAAUUUAAAAGUUUAUUAUUUGUUAUAGACUUUUAAAAUUUUAAUUGGGGUGAUUAAGGAAUAAUUUUUAAAAGGUAACUUCCUUAAAUAUAAAGUUGUUAGAUUAAUUAACCAAUUUAUAUUGCUUAUAAAAAAGUUACCGUAGGGAUAACAGCGUAAUUUAUUUAAAGAGUUCAUAUUGAAAAAUAAGAUUGCGACCUCGAUGUUGGAUUAAGGUUACCUUAAGGUGCAGCGGCUUUAAUAGGUAAAUCUGUUCGAUUUUUAAAACUUUACAUGAUCUGAGUUCAGACCGGUGUAAGCCAGGUCGGUUUCUAUCUUUUAAAUAGUUAAUUUUUUUUUUAGUACGAAAGGACCAUUAAGA